rnacentral:misc_RNA from 1 species
GAUGAAGAACGUAGCGAAAUGCGAUAAGUAAUGUGAAUUGCAGAAUUCAGUGAAUCAUCGAAUCUUUGAACGCACCUUGCGCUCCUUGGUAUUCCGAGGAGCAUGCCUGUUUGAGUGUCAUUAAAUUCUCAACCUUAUUGGCCUUUGCUGAUAAUGGCUUGGACUUGGGGGUCUUUUUGCUGGCUUUCAUUAGUCUGCUCCCCUUAAAUGUAUUAGCCGGUGCCCCGCAGUGGAACCGUCUAUUGGUGUGAUAAUUAUCUACGCCAUGGACGUCUGCUAUAAUGGGUUUGCGCUGCUUCUAACCGUCUCUCGGGACAACACAAAUGACAAUUUGACCUCAAAUCAGGUAGGACUACCCGCUGAACUUAAGCAUAUCAAUAAGCGGAGGA